rnacentral:lncRNA from 1 species
AAACAUCAAUUAAAUGAACUUCUCUACAAAUAUAGUCAGAUAAAUAGGGAGGUGUAUUGUGCUCUCUUACAGACCUGUGCAAAACAUGAUUAAUAGUGAUGGAAGUAGGUGAAGAGACAGUAUUUAGAAGGGAAACAGAAUCAGUAGAAGUAGUAGGAUUUGUGGAGGAAUCAGGAGAUAAUGAAUUUAAACUAGGAGUACAGUGAUUUGAAGGAAAAGAAACAUUACGCGAGGGAGGAACAUAGGUCUGUUCUUGAGGCUAAGACAGAAAACAUGAGAGGCC